UGCUUCUUCCCGACCGGUACCACCAUCUUGUUUGUUUCAUCAAUAAAGAGAGUGUAAGACUUAAGAGACGAUUAAAGUUUUUAGAAGUGUUUUUUAUUUGUGUCUUGUAUACAGUAAAUUAUAAUACAAACUUUGAAUAUGUCUCACGGUGGUAGAAAUGAAUGUAGAAUUUAUGUAGGCAAUUUACCUCCCGAUAUUAGAACGAAAGACAUUCAAGAUCUUUUUUAUAAGUUCGGUAAAGUUAUUUUUGUUGAUUUAAAAAAUCGUAGAGGACCACCUUUUGCUUUCGUCGAAUUUGAUGAUCCAAGAGAUGCUGAGGAUGCAGUACAUGCAAGAGAUGGAUAUGAUUAUGAUGGUUAUAGACUACGUGUAGAGUUUCCAAGAGGUGGAGGUCCUAGUAAUAAUUUUCGUGGUGGUCGUGGAGCAGGAGAUAGUGGAAGAGGUGGUCGAGGUGAAAUGAGUAAUUCUCGAGGACGUGGACCACCUGCAAGAAGAUCUCAAUAUAGAGUUCUUGUUACGGGUCUGCCUCCUUCUGGUAGUUGGCAAGAUUUAAAGGAUCAUAUGCGUGAAGCUGGUGAUGUUUGCUUUGCUGAUGUUUUUAAAGAUGGUACUGGAGUUGUAGAAUUCUUACGAUAUGAAGAUAUGAAGUAUGCUGUAAAGAAAUUAGAUGAUUCAAGAUUUAGGUCUCAUGAGGGUGAAGUAGCAUAUAUUCGAGUGAAAGAAGAUCAUAACAGUGGCGAUAGGGGACGCAGUGAAGAUAGGGAAAGAGGUCGAAGUCAUUCACGAAGCUAUAGUCCACGGCGUCGUGGCUCACCUACCUAUUCACCAUUGCGACGUAAUUACUCGCGAUCAAGAUCUCGCUCCAGAUCUCGUUCAUACGACUAGUGUGGGGGGAACACGUUGAAUUUCGGCCUCAUCGAUUCGAUAACACGGUUCUAUCUACGAAACAUAAAAGAGACUGCAGCUGCACAUCGAGCUCCAUGCAAGAAAACAUUGAUUAACGCUUGAACGAAAAUAUUACCCAACAAAAUGACCGAUAAUUUAUAUAUACGUGUAUAAAUUGUAUAUAUGUAUAUGAAAAUACAUAUAUAUAUAUAUUUAUAUAUAUAUAUAUAUGUAUAUAUCAAAGUAGUCCUGUUAGUAUAGUAAAAUACAAUUACAUAAUAAUAAUAAAUGUUAAAUAUUCAAUUAUAUGUAAAAAUAAACGAAUAGUAUCAAUAGAGAUCAAUAGAAUAUAUUAUAAUAAUCAGCUUGUCAGGGGCUGUUCAUCCUGUGUGAUUUAUUUUUCUUUUUUCUCUCCUUUUUUUUUACUCCUUUUUUAACAGUGUAUAUGAGUAUGUGAUCGUAUGAGUAUAUGAUUAAUUAUUACGUUUUCAUUUUUUUAACGCAUUGCCGAUAUUUUUUAUAGAAGAUUAAAUAUUCUUUGUAUAUUAAGAUAUAUCUUGAUACAAUAAAAGUGAUUAUUUUGAUAAUUGUUUAAAAAUGUGCAAAAUCGAAAUUACUCGAGACUAAUUGAAAAAAUUCAGAAAAGAUUGGAUUAUGUUUACUUUCAUUGUUCAGAAUUAUAAAAGUUUCGUCUUAGAAUCAUUUUAUCCGAUCCCAUCCGAUUUCACCCGAAUUUUUCAAAUUUUCGACACUUCUAUCAUUCUCUAUAAAAAAGAACAUAUCAUAUAAAAAUAUGAAAUAUUAUUGCAUUAUUAUCAAAUUGUAAAUAGAUAUCCUUACACAGUGAAACGUCUUGUUGCAGAAUUUGAAAACAGAUAAUUUUAUGAAAAAUUUUAUCUUUUUCAACAUAAUAGAAAUAAUUUUUUUUUUUGCAUAAGGAUUUAUAAUCUAUCAUUUUUUAAAAUCUUUUUACUCAUAUUUAUGAACAAAAAUAUUUCUACUAUAUUUUUAUUACAUUAAAAAUUUAUCUAAAAAUCAAAAUAGGAAUCUUCAGCAAUGUGUUAAUUAUAUUUAAAUUAUUUGAGUAGUACAUUUAUGUAUCAAGGCUUGAUCUUCCCUUUGUUCUCUUUCUUCAUCAGUCCCAUUCCUCCCUUUGUGUGCAUGUGUCUCAUAUGUGUGACAUUUGUCUCGUGAUUCGAACUAUAGCAGCCUGAAAAAAAAUUCUAAUUUUCCCUCAAACAUGGUAUAUUUUAUGUAUACGGAUAUAAAAAAAAAUGUAAGAUCCCCAAGGAAGGAUACGUGAAAAUUAUUCGAUCGAGAUUAUACAUCUUUACAGGAUUUUAAUUUGAUCAGAGCUUCGUGUGAUCCUAUUGGUCGUCGUACACCUCACAAACUCAUACAUAAGAGUCGAUAAAGAUAUAAUAAUACGUACAGAUACAAAAUUAAGCAGAUCGUGGUGGCUAGCGAUGGGAGAUAAUAUUGAGUGGUCCUUGCAUCAAUGCAAUAAAAACGGAA